GUGCUCACUUUGGAAGCACAUAUACUAAAAUUGGAAUGAUACAGAGAUUAACAUGGUCCCUGACAAGGAUUACACGUAAAUUUGUGAAGUGUUUCAUAUUUUU